CUACGGGUCGCAGCAGUGGGGAAUAUUGCACAAUGGGCGCAAGCCUGAUGCAGCCAUGCCGCGUGUAUGAAGAAGGCCUUCGGGUUGUAAAGUACUUUCAGCGGGGAGGAAGGGAGUAAAGUUAAUACCUUUGCUCAUUGACGUUACCCGCAGAAGAAGCACCGGCUAACUCCGUGCCAGCAGCCGCGGUAAUACGGAGGGUGCAAGCGUUAAUCGGAAUUACUGGGCGUAAAGCGCACGCAGGCGGUUUGUUAAGUCAGAUGUGAAAUCCCCGGGCUCAACCUGGGAACUGCAUCUGAUACUGGCAAGCUUGAGUCUCGUAGAGGGGGGUAGAAUUUCAGGUGUAGCGGUGAAAUGCAUAGAGAUCUGGAGGAAUACCGGUGGCGAAGGCGGCCCCCUGGACGAAGACUGACGCUCAGGUGCGAAAGCGUGGGGAUCAAACAGGAUUAGAUACCCCGGUAGUC
rnacentral:rRNA from 1 species